rnacentral:rRNA from 1 species
AUAUUGGUCAAUGGAGGCAACUCUGAACCAGCCAUGCCGCGUGCAGGAAGACGGCCCUACGGGUUGUAAACUGCUUUUAUACGGGAAUAAACCCUCCGACGUGUCGGGGGCUGAAUGUACUGUAAGAAUAAGGAUCGGCUAACUCCGUUCCAGCAGCCGCGGUAAUACGGAGGAUCCAAGCGUUAUCCGGAUUUAUUGGGUUUAAAGGGUGCGUAGGCGGCUUUUUAAGUCAGGGGUGAAAGACGGCAGCUCAACUGUCGCAGUGCCUUUGAUACUGAAGAGCUUGAUUACACAUGAGGCAGGCGGAAUGUGACAAGUAGCGGUGAAAUGCAUAGAUAUGUCACAGAACCCCGAUUGCGAAGGCAGCUUACUAAAGUGUAAAUGACGCUGAGGCACGAAAGCGUGGGGAUCAAACAGG